CUACUUCAAUUCUAAAGGGCUUGAUGGCAUCUCUGCUCUUCAACAUUUCAAGCUUUGAGUUGGCUGAUAUGGAUUGAGCAAGUUUAUAUAUAUAUUAAGCAUAAUAAAUGAUUGUAGAAUUGUGGAAUAUUUUCUGAAUAUCAUUUCAAAAGUAAUUUGAAUACAAUCAGUAAUAAAGUGUUUUGAAAUAAUAAAGUUUAUUGGGAGUCAAGUGAAUAUGGUUGCUCAUACUCUUGCUAGGGUGAUCAAUUCUUGGGAUAGUUUCCAUAAUAAUUUCUUGGGCUUUUUCAUUGGUAUUCCGCUUAUAUACGGCAUAUUUGUUUUGUAGUUUCAUUUUUCUCGGCCUCUGUUCGUCUUGUGCAGAGACCGAUUAUUAUUAAUAAUAUUUUGCCGUUAAAAAAAAUAUAUUGUCUUAUGUAUUAUGUAUUGAACGUUUACUAGUUAAUAAAAGGUUAAUGUUACUUGUAGCGAAAAAGUUGUCGUGAAACAACACGACGUAGUGGUGUAACUCAAGUUGGCUUUUUCAACUUUUCAUUCAUCCACCCAUGUUUUCAACUAAAUAAGAAUCUGACGGUUCUGAAUGUUUCGCUAUGAAUUCGUGAUGAUUUUGUUCGCUUGAAAUAAC
rnacentral:lncRNA from 1 species